rnacentral:rRNA from 1 species
AUUGAACGCUGGCGGCAGGCCUAACACAUGCAGGUCGAACGAGUGGCGGACGGGUGAGUAAUGUCUGGGAAACUGCCUGAUGGGGGGGGAUAAAUACGGGAAACGGUAGCUAAUACCGCAUACCAUCAGAUGUGCCCAGAUGGGCUUAACUAGUAGGGGGGGUAAAGGCGCACCAAGGCGACGAUCCCUAGCUGGUCUGAGAGGAUGACCAGCCACACUGGAACUAAGACCCGGUCGAGACUCCUACGGGAGGCAGCAGUGGGGAAUAUUGCACAAUGGGCGCAAGCCUGAUGCAGCCAUGCCGCGUGUAUGAAGAAGGCCUUCGGGUUGUAAAGUACUUUCAGCGGGGAGGCGUUACCCGCAGAAGAAGCACCGGCUAACUCCGUGCCAGCAGCGGCGGUAAUAC